SSAGGGUGAUGAGAUUGGAUGAGUAUAAGAGGAAAAUUAAAGUUUUUGGCGGUUAGAUUUUAAAUUAGAGGGACUUGUCAGUUGAUUGAUUUAGCACACAUAUUUUGACUUUAUAGUGUUUAUUUACUUCCGUUAUUAAAGGAGAUUUGGACAUUUAUAAUUAUAUUGGGUAAGUAAAAAAUUUCAGGUCAAGGUAUAGUUAUAUAGAGGGAUGAUUAGUUAUUAUGGGGAAUGGAUAGAUGAAAGCGAAUGUUUGAUGGAAUUGAAUUUAAUUGUAAUUUUUCUUAGUGAUGGGAGAUGAAACUAAUGAUAUA
rnacentral:rRNA from 1 species